ACGCUCGACACCUACGGGAGGCAGCAGUGAGGGAUAUUGGUCAAUGGGGGAAACCCUGAACCAGCAACGCCGCGUGAGGGAUGACGGCCUUGGUUGUAACCUCUGUCCUCUGUGAAGAUAAUGACGGUAGCAGAGGAGGAAGCUCCGGCUAACUACGUGCCAGUAGCCGCGGUAAUCUGAGCGGGCUGGCAAGGC
rnacentral:rRNA from 1 species